CUGCGGCUGCUACCAUGCAGUCGACGGUGACACGGAGCUUGCUCUGUGGGAUCAGUGGCGAACGGGUGAGUAACACGUGAGCAACCUGCCCCUGACUCUGGGAUAAGCGCUGGAAACGGCGUCUAAUACUGGAUAUGUGACGUGACCGCAUGGUCUGCGUUUGGAAAGAUUUUUCGGUUGGGGAUGGGCUCGCGGCCUAUCAGCUUGUUGGUGAGGUAAUGGCUCACCAAGGCGUCGACGGGUAGCCGGCCUGAGAGGGUGACCGGCCACACUGGGACUGAGACACGGCCCAGACUCCUACGGGAGGCAGCAGUGGGGAAUAUUGCACAAUGGGCGAAAGCCUGAUGCAGCAACGCCGCGUGAGGGAUGACGGCCUUCGGGUUGUAAACCUCUUUUAGCAGGGAAGAAGCGAAAGUGACGGUACCUGCAGAAAAAGCGCCGGCUAACUACGUGCCAGCAGCCGCGGUAAUACGUAGGGCGCAAGCGUUAUCCGGAAUUAUUGGGCGUAAAGAGCUCGUAGGCGGUUUGUCGCGUCUGCUGUGAAAUCCCGAGGCUCAACCUCGGGCCUGCAGUGGGUACGGGCAGACUAGAGUGCGGUAGGGGAGAUUGGAAUUCCUGGUGUAGCGGUGGAAUGCGCAGAUAUCAGGAGGAACACCGAUGGCGAAGGCAGAUCUCUGGGCCGUAACUGACGCUGAGGAGCGAAAGGGUGGGGAGCAAACAGGCUUAGAUACCCUGGUAGUCCACCCCGUAAACGUUGGGAACUAGUUGUGGGGUCCAUUCCACGGAUUCCGUGACGCAGCUAACGCAUUAAGUUCCCCGCCUGGGGAGUACGGCGCAAGGCUAAAACUCAAAGGAAUUGACGGGGACCCGCACAAGCGGCGGAGCAUGCGGAUUAAUUCGAUGCAACGCGAAGAACCUUACCAAGGCUUGACAUAUACGAGAACGGGCCAGAAAUGGUCAACUCUUUGGACACUCGUAAACAGGUGUGCAUGUUGUCGUCAGCUCGUGUCGUGAGAUGUUGGGUUAGUCCGCACGACGCACCCUCGUUCUAUGUUGCCAGCACGUAAUGUGGGAACUCAUGGGAUACUGCCGGGGUCA
rnacentral:rRNA from 1 species